AUUGAACGCUGGCGGCAGGCCUAACACAUGCAAGUCGAGCGAGUGGCGGACGGGUGAGUAAUGUCUGGGAAACUGCCUGAUGGAGGGGGAUAACUACUGGAAACGGUAGCUAAUACCGCAUACCAUCAGAUGUGCCCAGAUGGGAUUAGCUAGUGGUUGGGGUAAAGGCUCACCUAGGCGACGAUCCCUAGCUGGUCUGAGAGGAUGACCAGCCAUACUGGAACUGAGACACGGUCCAGACUCCUACGGGAGGCAGCAGUGGGGAAUAUUGCACAAUGGGCGCAAGCCUGAUGCAGCCAUGCCGCGUGGGGGAAGAAGGCCUUCGGGUUGUAAAGCACUUUCAGCGGGGAGGCGUUACUCGCAGAAGAAGCACCGGCUAACUCCGUGCCAGCAGCCGCGGUAAUAC
rnacentral:rRNA from 1 species